UACGAAGGGGGGCUAGCGUUGUUCGGAUUUACUGGGCGUAAAGCGCACGUAGGCGGAUCGUUAAGUCGGGGGUGAAAUCCUGGAGCUCAACUCCAGAACUGCCUUCGAUACUGGCGAUCUUGAGUCCGGAAGAGGUGAGUGGAACUCCUAGUGUAGAGGUGGAAUUCGUAGAUAUUAGGAAGAACACCAGUGGCGAAGGCGGCUCACUGGUCCGGUACUGACG
rnacentral:rRNA from 1 species